GUUAAUGUAGCUAAUAACAAAAGCAGGGUACUGGAAUCCCCUAGACGA
rnacentral:tRNA from 1 species